CUCGAUACUGACGCUGAGGUACGAAAGUGUGGGGAGCAAACAGGAUUAGAUACCCUGGUAGUCCACACCGUAAACGAUGAAUGCCAGUCGUCGGGCAGUAUACUGUUCGGUGACACACCUAACGGAUUAAGCAUUCCGCCUGGGGAGUACGGUCGCAAGAUUAAAACUCAAAG
rnacentral:rRNA from 1 species